AAUAGAUACCCGGGUAGUCCUAGCUGUAAACGAUCAGUACUAGACGGAGGGGGGCUUGCCCUUCUCGGUCGUAGCGAAAGCGAUAAGUACUGCGCCUGGGGAGUAUGGUCGCAAGACUAAAACAUAAAGGAAUUGACGGGGAUCAGCGCAAGCGGUGGAUCGUGUUCUUUAAUUCGAUGAUAAACGAAGAACCUUACCAGGGCUUGACAUCCAGGGAAGCACUACGAAAGUAGAGUGUGCCUUUUGGAACCCUGUGACAGGUGUUGCAUGGCCGUCGUCAGCUCGUGUCGUGAGAUGUUUGGUUAAGUCCAUCAACGAGCGCAACCCUUGUGAAUAGUUGUAUUUUUCUAUUCAGACUGCUCUAGUAAUAGGGAGGAAGGAGGGGAUGAUGUCAGGUCAGUAUUACCCUUACGUCCUGGGCUAGAAACACGAUACAAUGGCAAGUACAAUGCGCAGCGAAGCAGUGAUGUGGAGCAAAUCGCACCAAAGCUUGUCCCAGUUCGGAUAAGAGGCUGAAACUCGCCUCGUUU
rnacentral:rRNA from 1 species